CUGACAACCAGGCUGCAGCCCAGGCUCUGCCCCACGGGCAGCACUUGCUGGGCAGCUGAAGGUGCUGUAAAAGGUGCUUCAGCUCUGUCGUGCCAGGCACACAGACAGGGCUCAGCCCUCCUACUGCCAGGUGCUCUGAGCACCCCUUCAGUGCUGGGUGCAGACAGGAGGGAACCAGGUCCCUCUGCCCCUGCUGGCAUCUCACAAAUGGAUUCCUGUGAAGAUGUGAAAGGCUGCCGCUUGCACUUCUCUGGUAAAGAAGCAUAAAAGCAGCUUUAGCAACAGCUGAAGAAGAAAGGGAUGGGUCUUCCUGUCAUGGAGACAGAGUAGCUCGCUUGAAAUCCCCUGUUACAACUGCUGAAGGCCCAGGACUUCCAUCAGGAGGUGGAUGAUCACCACUUCAGUCAGGAAAAAUGUUCAGAUCCUCAGGCAGACAGACCUGCCACCCCCUGACGCUGCAGACACUCAGCAGUGACUGGAGGUGUUGGUCAAAGAGGGCUCCUGCACUGAGCCCCCCGGCAGUCCCCAUGCACCCAUUGCAGGAUGCUCAUCACCUCCCCCAGAACUCCAGCACUCAGAAGGUUUUGUUAGCACCUUCUGCUUUUUGGCAGAAUGGUUUGUUUUACCUUCACAGAUCAUUAAAUCUCUAUUGAUUUCAAACAA